rnacentral:rRNA from 1 species
UUGAACGCUGGCGGCAUGCCUUACACAUGCAAGUCGAACGGCAGCACGGGUGCUUGCACCUGGUGGCGAGUGGCGAACGGGUGAGUAAUACAUCGGAACAUGUCCUGUAGUGGGGGAUAGCCCGGCGAAAGCCGGAUUAAUACCGCAUACGAUCUACGGAUGAAAGCGGGGGACCUUCGGGCCUCGCGCUAUAGGGUUGGCCGAUGGCUGAUUAGCUAGUUGGUGGGGUAAAGGCCUACCAAGGCGACGAUCAGUAGCUGGUCUGAGAGGACGACCAGCCACACUGGGACUGAGACACGGCCCAGACUCCUACGGGAGGCAGCAGUGGGGAAUUUUGGACAAUGGGCGAAAGCCUGAUCCAGCAAUGCCGCGUGUGUGAAGAAGGCCUUCGGGUUGUAAAGCACUUUUGUCCGGAAAGAAAUCCUUGGCCCUAAUACGGUCGGGGGAUGACUGUACCGGAAGAAUAAGCACCGGCUAACUACGUG